UACGUAGGGUGCAGGCGUUAAUCGGAAUUACUGGGCGUAAAGCGUGCGCAGGCGGUCUGCUAAGAGAGAUGUGAAAUCCCCGGGCUCAACCUGGGAAUUGCGAUGGAGACUGCAAGGCUGGAGUCUGGCAGAGGGGGGUAGAAUUCCACGUGUAGCAGUGAAAUGCGUAGAGAUGUGGAGGAACACCGAUGGCGAAGGCAGCCCCCUGGGUCAAGACUGACGCUCAUGCACGAAAGCGUGGGGAGCAAACAGG
rnacentral:rRNA from 1 species